UUCUUCUUAUUUGGCAAAUUUACUUUUCUCGUUUUAAGAAUACAUUUUGUUGGAUUCUCCAAAAUGUUUACUGUAAAACAAGAUAAAAUAUAAGUUUGAAGUGCAACUAGUAAAUUAGUAGUAGAUCAGUACCUACAACUGGUUUGUUAGUACUACUAGUACAAACAUACUCUAUUAUAAUUGAAUAUUUGCCCCUAUAAUUGGCACUUAAAAAAUAUUGCACUGAUGGCAAUGACUGGAAGUUCUUUUGCAGCACUUAAAUCAAAAAGUUUCAAACGUUCACUUCUUUAUUGCUAAUCUAGAAAGUUUUGAACUUUCACAAUACUACUGUACAUUCUGCAACCUUUAUUUAUCAUCAGCUGUCUGAUUCACUAUGGUGCAUGCCAUUUCAACAUAUUUACUUAAUUUGACUUUAAUGAUUAAUGUAUUACAGGGUUAACGGCUCCCCCUGUCCAAAAACAUCCUCCUCCUCCUGAAGAAAUUAUACCGUCUUUACGCAAAUGAAUGUAAAACCAUUUACAAAUAACUUUUAACUAGAAAAUAUGGCACUUUCACAUUUCAUACUUUGAACAGACUGUUUUAGUUUUUCUCUUGCUGCUCGUGUUUUAAUAGUUUUCGUUUGUUUGUUUUGCGUUUCUCUGAAACGUACACCUGUAGCCUUCAGUACUUUCGUAUCUCAGGAUAGAUUCAGCAGAAGGGUUCGCAAUAUUCGUCAGUCGGAUAACAAUGCAGACAUAACUACCUGUACAAGACGUGCAUAUACAUGUUAUAUUAACUACAGUCUUUGCACAAUAUACCUCAUCCUUGGGAAUAAACGCACCUUUCUGUGCCACAUCCUUAAAUACCAUUCAGGGGCACGUGUAAAAGGAGCAGUUGAAACUCUGGGAAAUUAAUUUUAUUUUCCUAUUUCACCCUCUUUUUUGUCUUCUACGAGAGGGAUGGCAAGAGAGGCAUUUCAUGUGUCUGACUGACCAAUAUUUACACCCUUUUCAUUCAGGUACAGAAAAUCGAACUUUUUGAAUACAAUCAAAAAUUUCGCUUAACAUUCUCAUCUUGCCAAUAACGGGUCCCAUCCUUUAAGUUAACUCAUAACGUCAAGGCAAAUAUCAAAGGAUACUGUAGGUAAGCCACGAUACAUUUUUCCUGUACUCUGAAAUGCGAUUUAACCGUCAUGGGUGUUUUUGUGAAAAACACAAAUGGAGGUUUGUUGGGGAGAAUAUGGGACAGGUGGAAAUGUUAACCUUCUGUUGUUUCUUUGCUCUCUGUAAACUUGUUUUUAAACUGCAUUCCAAAAAUUUCAAGAGAUACCUUUAUAUGGAAGAAAAAUCUAUACAUAUACAAAUGAAUAUAUAUUAUAUUUAUUUUACUGUUUAUCUUUUUAUUUGUCUUUUUCUCUGGUUGAAAUUGAAAUGCUACACUAAGAAAACGACGCUGACAGCUACAACCUCAGUUUCUGUACCAUAUGAAGUGCCAUUUGUUUGUCUCAAGUGGCUCAUGAUUUCUUUUCUGAAAAGAUGUUCAGAUAGCCUUUUUUUUCUUUUUCCCUUUUAUGACUUUCACUGCAUAUCCACAUAACGGCAUUACCUCAGGUGAGAUCUCCCAGAGCAGCUGAUUCUACAUUUAGUUGUAGAAAUCAGGACCUGUACUUGACUUUUACACGUUUCCAAAAACGCAACUAUUACUUUACAAGGAAGCAGUUUUUAAAUGACGCUAGUCGCAUUUUUGUUUUCCUUCUGUGUGUUUUAAAAUAUUAAUGCUUUGCUUAACUGAACCACGGGUCUCUUUUUGAAUGCAACAUUAUUGACGUUAGCACACGAAAGUUCAAAUCGAUAGGGCACACAUUUGUACGCCACAAUUAAUACACUCAAAACACCAUCAGGUCUACAUCAUGUGGGUGGUUAUAUAGUUUUAGGCUAAUGGUUUGAUAUCUUAAUGAGAAAGAAACAGAAAAGGCAUGUAUGGAUGCAUAGGGACUCCAAAUUAGCUGUCUUAAUUAUUAUUAUUGAUUAAAUGUCUCUUUUCAAUGUCAUUUAGAUAAAUAAUUAGAUUUUGGGUUUUUUAAAUAAUUUUUUUGUUGUUGUUUUGCUUAAGCACAGAAUUAUCUUUUAUCUUGUCAUGUUACAGUUCUUUUGGGUUUACAACUCCCUCCACCCCCCACUGAUUUUGGCAAAAUGAAAAUGAAUAGGCACACCUUUAUUUGACAGAAAACAUCUUUGAAAUUGGGAGAAACAAAUUGUCGGCAAACAUUGUAGUCCAAUUCAGUUGUACUGUCAAUCUAUGCACUUGAGGGGGUAAAGUUACUUGCACCAUUAACUGUUUCCUGUGUUUGUGAUAAUGUUAAGUAGUUUUAGGGGCCAUCCUUUACAUUUAAUGGCCUGAUAUUAAAUCAAAUAUUAUUGACUUGGAUAUUGACUAUUGAUUUAGAUGACCAUCAUUUGCAGCAGUACAGCUUAAAAUAGCUGUUGUCAUGGUACAACUUGCAGCACACGCCAUGGUAAAAGACAUGUUUUGAAUGUAACCUUCUAGAAAAACAUGUCUCAGAGAAAACUGAUGGAAUAUGCACAGACAGUUUAGCUCAGAAUAGAAUAAACUCAGAUAUGUGUGUUCACUAUGAUAUUGAUGCAUUUCAUUAGAAUAUGGGUGUCAUCCGGAGGGCCUGUUUUGCAGUGUUCAAUCAUCACCAAUAGUUCAAUAAUUGCAUUCAAUCAUCAUUACAGGAUUAAUCUUUGUUUACUAAUAAUUUAAAUAAUAAUGAGCCAAUACCUACCGAUAAUUGGAACAACAAUUGAAAAUCAUUAACCAAGGUGACCUGCAAUCUGUUAUUUUUCUUAAAUUAACUUUAAUCAAUGUCGUCUUGAUUGCUUUAAUGCAAUUAAAUAAAAAUAAAUAUGUCCUACAUAUAUAAUAGUUAAAGUGUGUAAUUUUUGGGCCACUAUUGGAAUUGGAAAUUUAAAAACUAUUCGAAUUCCAAACACUCAUGUGGUUUUUCAUUGGUCCAGAAAACAGAUAACCACACCCCUAACACACUAUUGGUUAAGCCAAUGUUGCUAUGCUAGGCUGGGGUGCAUUUCCCAAAAGCAUCGUUAGCCGACUAGGGUUGAAAAUUCCAUUGAACUCUAUUGGUAAUAAGAGAACUUGACAGAAAUGCACCUGUGGGCAGGAUGCUCAAACAAAUAGGGGUGCAUUUCCCCUACAACAAUGUAACUCACUGCUUAACCACCAUAAUAUGAUGCAUCAUUGUAGAAACUAACUAGCUAGUCACGCCUCUUUCCCAAACAUGGUUACAUCUCCGUCGUUUCAACCACGUUGGUUCAACAAUAUAGGGUCAUUGUUAAUGCAAUCACAUACAUGUGGUGAAGUAAUAGCUUCUGUCUUACUAACAAGAAACUAUGCUUCUAAUCACAGGUCGAGAGCUGUAGUUACAAUCACAUAAGUUUGCGAUGCUGUAUGUGAAUGUUUGAUUGAACUAUGGUUUCGAAAAACACAGAAUUGUUGAACUGUGUUGGUAAUGAAAGGACAUGCAACCAUAGUGGCCUAACAAUGCUGUCGGGAAACGCACUACUGAUCAAUGUUCUGAGUAUUUAACACUAUUUAUGCUUUUUAGGGGAAUCAAACAACAAAGGUAAAAUCAAAAAGUUAUUUUCUAGUCAACAUUAAAAAUCAGGGACAACAAAGACUUUUAAUAUCAAUGAAAUUACUUCCUUCAAAGGCUUGAGUGAAACUGUGAAUUAUAUGGAACAGGGCCAUGAAAAUUCAACACCAGACCACUGCCUCUACUGUCUCUAUUAAAAUGAAAUAUUAAUAUGGCUGACGAUGAUGACUUAGUCGUUCUUAAGAGGUUCAAUGCUAGCUCAGUGAGAGGUCAAACAGAGAGCUGUGAAAACGCAAAUGAAAGUGGAAAGGAGAAAAUGGGCUUGAUCAAAUGGCCAAUGUUCUUCUAGAACUUGAGAGCUUUGGGCUAUGAAAGGGCUGCCCUUGUGUUGCCAUGACAAUCUUGCAAGAUCAUUCACAAGUAAAGGUGUGUCUAUUCUAAUUAUGCUUUUAUUAAUGCAAAACCCACAUUCUUUUCCUGUUUUUUAUUUUAUACCAGUAUUUUAUGUUAUUUCUACCAUUGAAAUGUAAACCUAGUUUGUGUUAAUUUGGUUUUCUUGCUAAUUUGCCGAGAGAGAAAUGAAGAGAAUAUUAGUUUGAAAAUGUAUUGGGAGUUACAGAGUUUCCAAACAAGAGUCCUUCCUUCUGCCAUCUGUCCUUGUACUAUGCUGGCAUUGCAUGGUAUUUCAUGCCUGAAUCUGCUCUUGACCAUUAACUUCAUCCAUGACUGUUUCAACCCCGCAGUCCAUUGAGUUCUGUGGGAUUAAGAUUAUUAGUUUUGCUACCUCAACAUUCAGAUGGUUUUGACAUAGGAGCCCUUUGGUAGUAAAGCAAAAAUGAAUUGUAUCUUGAGGGACUGACUGUCCCUACAGGCUUUUGUCGAUCAGGUUGUAUAAACAUGUUGGCGGUUUGAUCGGCUUACGUGCUGUACUGUAUGUAGCAUUUCAGAUGCACGGUUAACACUGGCUCGUUGUUCCCAAAGUCACGGUCCCGUUCUGUCGGAAAGCAGUUAUACAUACCACAUACACAUAUGUGGAUCUAAUAAGUCACAUUUUUGAUAGAGGUAAUUGUUUUUUUUUUGGACCAAAAGGUCCCAAGUUAUGCAUCCCGACUGCUUUUAAGACCAGUGUUUGGGAAGAAUCAGGUUGACCGAUCACCUCUAAAGUUGGAAACGCGUCGUUAUGUAUGUUUCCUCAAGAAUCUAGUAUAGUCAAGCCACACCAUAUUAGUUUGUGCCCUUGAAAUUCAAGCCAAAUGCAGUCUGUGGGCAGUAUCUUUGUUUGCGAAAAAUGGUCGCAUUUUCGUUAAUUUGCAUACGUCAAAGGUACGCAUCUUAUCUCUCGACGGGGUGCUGUGCUUACACUUUUUGUGGGUUUUUCCAUGUAUGGAGUCGUAAGUUUUAUGGAGCAAAAAUGCCUUUGGCUAUCUGUUCAGCUUGUGUUCAUAUUUUCAAAAUACUUUUUUAAAGUUUGUAAGAAUUCUCAAAGUAGAGUCUUAACGUUGUAAAGGUUUGGCGUUCAGUGUAGUAUGAUGAUCAGAUCCCUUCUCCCGUACCCCCUCAGGUUAAUGCAUGAGAGUGGAAUGAUUAGGCUCGGCUAAAGAUUGAUACCUUUUCUAUAUUUCUUAAUACUAUUGAUAUUGUGAAUACUUAAACGCUUGCCUUUAGGUUCCAUUUUAUUAUUGCCCAUAAUUCAAAAUUCCACUGGUUAUGUGGUCCAAAAAAAAACAUUUUUGGUGAUUUUAUUUUGCAAUAUUAAACUAUGAGUGGGAAAACGAGUCCAGCAAGGCAAUACUUGUGAUUUAAGUCCCCUUGACUUGAGAAAAGUGAGUUUUUUUGUCGCAGGCCCAAAAAAGCAGGUCGCCCAACAGCCGGACAACUCAACUGCAUGUCCUUAUCAGACUGCCUUUUCCAUUUAAAAAGAUUCAGCCAAAUAUCCUUAGUUCAGUGCUUUAUAAACGGCGAGGAUUGUAAAGUACAAAUUUCCUGGGGAAACAAAAAAUAAAUACGCUCUAAGUUUAGAUAUUUUGUUCGGUCCCUCGAGACCCACAAGGCCACAAAGACUAUUACUUUUGUUUCUGUUGUCUGUAUAAUAUGUGAUGUUUCAACUUAAAGAAAAAAACCUUACAACACAGAAUACCUCAGAUAAUAAAUCCAUGUAAAUCUUGACAGCCUCCACGUGUAGAUAGAGCCUUGUUCACUGCCUCCCCAUCUCUCAUGUCUGUCGGACGCCUCUUCUUUCAUUUCACUGCCCAUUAUGUGUUGUGGAGGUUUCAUUACUUUCUUUUCAUGUUUGUUUUUUAGUCCCAGGAACAAAUUAACCAUUACUUCAUUCAUCGUUCCUCUGUGCUUGACGUUUAGCGGCGUUCACACUGAAUUCACUUUGCAAGUCACUCGAUUCCAAUGAGAGUUGGCGAUUUGAGGUGACUUGAGCGUCAGACUGUUGUUGAUGCGACCAAAUUGAGCUAACUUUAUGCAAAUGCGUAGUGAUGCGGUGACAACCAAUGGGAGUCUAGACUGUGAUUUGUCACCUGGUUCAUUUGGAUACUGUGGUUGAGUAGGAACGUCAUCUAGCAACCAACAGUACAGCAACUUUGUGACCUCCAGAGUUUUUAUCGAAGACAGUGUGAAUGCCAUUUUAGGAAGGGAAGACAUUGCCUCAGUAGUAGAUGCUUAUUUUUACAGUCCAUUUCAAAGUAACACAGUAAUUAUCAGACUAAGUACCAUGUUUCUAAUUGGAGAUUUUGGUCUAUUACCAUAAAUUAAGUUACAGCUCCAAGUUUGGCCAUUCAAAACUAGAUUUUUAAGUGAAAAGGUGGGCUUUGUCUUUUUUUAGAGGUAGUUUGUUAAUUAUAAGCCAUAGUUCACUCAUUUGUCCAACGUAAUUUCAUCAUUCAUUCUCAUUAUCAACUAAACUGAAUGUAGGGGGAAAAAGAAUAAAAAAAAAAUGAAAUUCUUAACACACAAACUAACUUUUUAUGUAACUAUACAUACUUUAGGACAAGCUAUAGAUUAUUAUAUUAAUGUGUUCUUAAAUAUAUAUACACUCAACAGUCACAGUGCAUUGUAUAUAAUGUUCUGUAUAGUUAUAUACUUACGUAUCUUCUGGAACGAGAUGUUUAUCUCUUCCUCAUUUGAUUCAGGGAACAAACAUUUCAGUGCAGUAUAUUUAGAGUCCUGUGUACCGCAUUUGUAUAGUUCGUUUUCAUUUGCUCACAUUUCUUUUAUCGUCCACAUAAUGGAAGUUAGUCUUGAAGUAGGCUAAACAAAGAAUAAAUUAAGUUAUUGUAAGGCAUCUAACGCUGCAGUGGUGCAGACAGUUGUGUUUUUCCACAAUACUGUACAAACAAAAAUAUAUAUUGAGAGGAAGCGCAAACUUUUUAAGGUGGAUGUGUAUAUAGUCUCCAGUCCAUUCCACAAUGUAAUUUUAUUUUACCCUUUUAGUUGAACACCAUUUUAAGUGAUUUUAAAGUAUUUAUUGCGACAUCAGCCGAAGAUGUAAAUUAAUUUUCCCCGUGGAAAAAAAAGAAGUUAACAGCCAGGUUUUGCGGUAUUGCUUGUUAUUUUUGCUUGCUAAUUGUACAUGAAAUUUAAGUACAGAAGUAGGAUGGUUAAAAUUGUUUGUGAACACUGAAUCUCUAUCGGACGAUGUCCUAAAAUCAUCCUUAUUCGUUACGAUGAGGAAACGCGCCUUCGGUGUGCUUUGCUGCAACUGCUUUUUCUUAACGAUAAUGAUGUUUAUUACUAAUAUAAUUUUGCGUGUGAACUGAAACGUCUCUGUAGCUGUGAGCUGGUUGUGUAUGAGUGUGUGGAAUUGUUCGAGGUUUUCAUUUUUCGCUUUUUGCUCAUGCAGUUUGUGGAUAAACCAUUUCUUACAUACUAAAUCAUACGAUUUCUGAUAAGACAAGCCUCUGAGUAGUGGUUUUCAUGAUCAUCUGUGAAAAGAAAGAAGAAAAAUGUUCCUUAAACCAUUUCUCUAUUUACCUUAAAUCCUAUUAUUAAGCCACAACUAUGAAUCCCUCAGGGACAAACGACACUGAUUCAAUCUAUUCAGGUACUUUCUCUAGAUUCUGCGGCCUAGCUGUUAAAAUACGACAAAAAAUAGUACAUAUUUUUUGAAAAAUUGAGCAAAAGAAAACGGUCGCUCGUGACGAGAGUCAUUUUUAACCUGUUGUCGCUUAAUUUCUUUUCCUCUGUCCUUUUUAGUUUUUGUAUUCUUUGUAUCCAGACUUAAGUACAAUAUACGAAAUGAAUGUCAAGCUGAAACUUCAGGUGAAGAGCAACACUCAGCCAAGACAGUGCUUUUCAUUACAAUUUCCUCUGCACACACUGUGCCUCAAAUGCCUGAAGACAAUAGAACAACACUAUAGCGACAAACACCACAUCAGAGCCCUCAAUGAUAGUGGUCGACCGGUCUCAGCACUCCUAUACAGACGUACCUCUACAGCGCAAGGCCUGAUCUUUCACAUUUGCAGUCAGUAAUUGGUAGUUUCGAUCUCUGCUUUUAGCAUGUAAGUAUUUCAGCGAAAAAACUGCCUGAAGAAAAUGCCUCUCAAUAUGUGAAUGGCUUAACGUUGAGGUCUGAUUUUCUGAUUUUAUUUUUGUGCUUGUUUUUCUUUUCUCGAGCUUUUAGGUGCCUACUCUUAUUGUCAAAAAAAGCUCAAAAACGUAAAGGAUUUAUGAACUGGCUGUGUUUUGCUGAUUAUCAUCCAUAAUUAUUAUUAGAAAGACAGGAAUCGUUUAUAAUAAAGCGGUCGUGUGAAACAAGGACGGCAUUUACUCCUCAAUUAGUCUUGGUUGUUGUUAUUUUCCCUCGGAUUUGCAGUUCUUGAAACAUUCCUGUUGUUGUUCUUGUCAUCGUGGGUUUUAGUUUGCGGCAGCGAGUUUGUUGUUUUCCACACAGGCUUGGAUUCAAAAGUUCAGGCUUGAUUUAAGGCAAAAAAAGGAAAUACUUACAUGUUAACUCUUUUAAUACGAGACGGAACGGGUUUUUAAAACGCGGAGGUUUGCCGGUGUGGGAUAAGGUGCUGCUUUUUCCGAAUAUUCUCUGUUUUCGAUAUACCUCAGACCAUCUAGAUCGAAACGAGUGCUUUUUUACGAAAUGGCAUCUUGACCUGUAACACACUGGUUCCUUCGAGUCAGUCCAAUUGAUGGAAGACAGGCGAUCCAAAACUGGAAUAGACCUCAUUUCAAUAUAUACUGUUUACUCUUUGACAAAAACAUUGUAUAGUUUAAUAUUUUCUUGUACUGUAGGUUUAUUUAUAUUAAUUUGUUCUUUUUUGUACUGUGUGUUUGACUUUUAUUCUAGACUAUUAUCGAUGUCCGUGUUCGAGCACUUACGAGGAUCACAACUUUUUUUUUUUGUUUGAUUGCACUAUUUGUUUAGGGUUUGUUUGUUUUGUUUUGUUUUCCGUUUGAAUGCAAAUUCUUAUUUUUUGAGCUGGGCUAAUGAGUAAUAAGCUGUCUCCUAAUGUAUGUGAUUUUUAAAAAAAAAAUUUAAAGAAAAAAACUAGAUUUUCUGUGGUCUAAUUAAAAAAAAAAAAAAAAAAAGUUUUCUCUUUCUUUUUAUUUGCAUUGACCAUUAAGCAAAAUGCUGAUUAGAUCCGUCUUUGUGCAUGUGUGGAGUUUUAAUGGUUAUAUUUUACCCAUUUAGAAAAAAAAAUUCCAUUUUUCAACGCAUUUUAAUUGUAACAUUGUGCAAGUUAGUAUUCACUGGAUGCUAGAACCUUCUUAUGAAAACCACUAUUCUUCUAAUAAAUUUUUGUUGUGAAAAAGUGUUGAGACUGUUUUAUUGUGAUGUUGCAUGUUUCUACUGUUGUUUCUGAUGGAAUACAUCUAUUUUUA
ensembl:lncRNA